UAUUGUGCGUUAAAGACUCUCUGGUUACGUCACGUCCUAUCGAAGUAAUAGCGAGGAAGUAGGAGAGAUACUUUUAUCACAGUAACUAAAGAUUAAAUAUGUCGUCGAGGUGCUCCAAACGCUGUGCUGUUUCUGGCAGUCAGAAUACCGAGUUCCUGCAUAUAGUCCCGAAGGAUCCCGAUCUUAAAAAAAAAAAAGUGUGGCUGGAGUUUAUUUUCAAUGAAGUGCCAUAGCGCGUCAGUCCGUACUUGUUUGUUUGCCUGCGACAUUUCACCGCGGAUUGUGUGGUUAACCAGUAGCAAUAUGAAGCUGGCUUUGCGGAGCACACGAGUGGUUCUGUGCCAACUAUAUUGGACCCGAGAGCAAUCCGACAAACCGAAAGUAACAAAACGCAUAUUCAUUCUAAUGUUUAAUCUGUUAUUGGUGUAAUGUGUAUUGAAUACGAUGUACAACGUGUGCAAUAGGGUAAAAACAGUUGAUGUAUGCUUGGUUUGGUAUACUAGAUUACUAGAUGUUAUGUAGAAAUGGUAUGAGUAAUAAGGUUGUAUUUUAUUCUGAAGACAGCCUUGGCAAUAAGCCUUUUUAUGUUUUCAUUAAAUGUUAGCCAAUUAUAACAGACAGUGUUUACCUUAAACUCUUAGUCCCAAAACGGGGAACAUUUAUAAGGCAAUGAACUAUGAGCCAUGAAGCAUUUAAAAGUAUUUUAAGGCCUACCUUCAAACUCAGUGCCUCUUUACUUGACAUCAUGGGAAAAUCAAAAGAAAUCAGCCAAGACCUCAGAAAAAAAAAUUGUAGACCUCCACAAGUCUGGUUCAUCCUUAGGAGCAAUUUCCAAACGCCUGAAGAUACCAUUGUCAUCUGUACAAACAAUAGUACGCAAGUAUAAACACCAUGGGACCAUGCAGCCAUCAUACCGCUCAGGAAGGAGAUGCAUUCUGUCUCCUAGAGAUGAACGUAGUUUGGUGUGAAAAGUGCAAAUCAAUCCCAGAACAACAGCAAACGACCUCGUGAAGAUGCUGGAGGAAACAGGAUAACAAGUAUCUAUAUCCACAGUAAAACUAGUGCUAUAUCAACAUAACCUGAAAGGCUGCUCAGCAAGGAAGAAGCCACUGCUCCAAAACUGCCAUAAAAAAGCCAGACUACAGUUUGCAAGUGCACAUGAGGACAAAGAUCUUACUUUUUGGAGAAAUGUCCUCUGGUCUGAUAAAACAAAAAUUGAACUGUUUGGCCAUAAUGACCAUUGUUAUGUUUGGAGGAAAAAGGGUGAGGCUUGCAAGCCGAAGAACACCAUCCCAACAGUGAAGCAUGGGGGUGGCAGCAUCAUGUUGUGGCGGUGCUUUGCUGCAGGAGGGACUGGUGCACUUCACUAGAUGGCAUCAUGAGGAAUUAAAAUUAUGUGGAUAUAUUGAAGCAACAUCUCAUGACAUCAGCCAGGAAGUUAUAGCUCAGUCACAAAUGGGUCUUCCAUAUGGACAAUGACCCCAAGCAUGCCUCCAGAGUUGUGGCAAAAUGGCUUAAGGACAACAAAAUCAAGGUAUUGGAGUAGCCAUCACAAAGCCCUGACCUCAAUUAGAUAGAAAAUUUGUGGGCAGAACUGAAAAAGUGUGUGCGAGCAAGGAGGCCUACAGUCCUGACUCAGUUACACCAGUUCUGUCUGGAGGAAUGGGUCAAAUUUCCAGCAACUUAUUGUGAGAAGCUUGUGGAAGGCUACCCAAAACAUUUGACCCAAGUUAAACAAUUUAAAGGCAAUGCUACCAAAUACUAACAGUGGAUGUAAAUUUCUGACCCACUGGGAAUGUGAGGAAAGAAAUAAAAGCUGAAAUAUAUCAUUCUCUCUACUAUUAUUCUGACAUUUCAUAUCUUAAAAUAAAGAAGUGAUCCUAACUGACCUAAGACAUGGAAUGUUUUCUUUGAUUAAAUGUCAGGAAUUGUGAAAAACUGAGUUUAAAUAUAUUUGGCUAAGGUGUAUGUAAACUUCUGACUUCAACUGUACAAAACGCACUCUGACAUCCAUACCAACACACCCACACAAUUUUAGCUGCAUCGUUUAUUCAAUUGGCCUGCAAUGCUCUAUAAUUCAGCAAACAGAAAAUAAGAAAAAAGACUGUAUUUGCUCCAUAGGUUAAACAUGAGAAAAAUGGCACCAUCUGGUGAAAAAAAUUUUUUUUUUUAAAUAAUUUUGAAGCCAGGGCUCCGGAAUGAAAGCAUAAAAUCAUAGAAUUCAUGAUUUUAUGCUUUAAUGGCACUGGGAUCAAAUAUUGCAGUUUUAAUGGGUUUCAAUGGGGACAUUUUUGUCUUGAAGGUCCUGAGUGUAACUAUUUUGUGUACAGAGUGUAUUAUAGAUGUAUUUUAGGAACUGAGGUUGAAAUAUCAAAAUUCCCCCCACAAUACACACCUUUGGCAAAAUUUAUGCCGUUGGCAUUAACACAGCCAAAAUGAUCGAAAAACAAAAAUAAAAAAGACAAAAAUGUCCCGAAGAUUGCACAAAUUAGAUUUUGUUAGUUUUUCACCAUUUUGGCUACAUUUUAGCUUUUUUCAAAUGAACAAAUCCAUGUAUUCAAUCAAUAAAUAUGAUAUAAUAUUGCAUAUGUUAUAUGUUGUUAUAUGUUUAUUGUUUAAUUGCAUAAUUUGUAAAAUUUUCAGGUAUUUUAGUUGAUUUGUUGAACACAUGCUUAAAACUGGCACUGUCUCUUUAAGAAAACUGGCAUUUCUGUAAAGACUGGAAGGGCCUUAUCUCAUCUGUGCAAUGUGUGAUUAGAAUAAAAAUGUUUUUUUUUUUUUUUUUUGAUCAACAACUGACUGUAAAAAAAGAAAGGGUAUUAAAAAAGACAUUAUUCAAUGACAAAUGGGUUGUGUGGAUCUCGUCUUCGGACACACAUUAAUUACACGGAACAUUUUCGUACACUUUUCGGAACACUAUCCUUGUGAAAGGAUCUAGGUAAAUACACCACCACCAUACUACACAAUCACUGAUGAGUGAAAUCUGAAUAUUUACCAGCCAGUUGCAAAAUAUAGAGGUUUUAAUCACAUAGCGUGAAAUUGGUUGCAAAUGCGCGUUAUUUCCUCUCAUUGUAGUAGACGGUUGGACAUAGAGUAAAAGAUUUUUGAAUUUAAGAACUGAAAUAGAGACUGUUCAAAUGAAGAUUGUGAUGCAAGGGAAAAUUUAUAUUUUUACCAACCCCUAAUAAGAAGAUGAUAAGUCACUUUCACAAAAUAAACGCCAACAGAACUCUGAUGCAAACCGGCUGUGGAAUUCAGUUGUUCCUGAAGACUCUGUGGUCUCUGUCUUCUCACAUAAUAACUUAAUAUCAAAUCAUUAUUUCAUGUCCAUUUAAUUAUUUAUUUUUUAUGUAGCCAUGUAUUAAGCGGGAUAUUCUAAAGUCUGCUGGGUAUUAUCUCAAAAUAAACCCUCUCAAGGUGUAUCAAGACCCCCCUGUCAUGAUUUAUUUUUCAAGAAUAGCUGACUCACUGUAGAUUAUCCCUUAAUUAGCACUGAUGUACAUGAUGUUAUCAACUUUGAAUAUCAUAUUUAAUGCACAUGAUGAAAUCCAGUGUUGGUGGCCUAACCCUAACCCUAAAUAUGCUUUUUGGACCGUCAAACAGCCAGCAGCCUGAUGGCACCCGAUUACUUGCAUUGUAUGGACAAACAGAGAUGAAAUGGGCUUAUACAAUUCUUCAUUUCGGUUCUGCUGAAGAAGAAAAGUCAUACUUAUCUGGGAUGGCUUAAAGUUUUUUGCUUUGAAAUAGGGUUUCAGCUGACAUUGAUUCACCAGAGGAGGAAUGGGAUUCAGAGGCCAGCGCAACAUUGAGAAAGAGUCUGCUGCCCCUGCUGCUGAAGGAAAUGGGACAGAGAAUGAUUGAGUACUCAUCUGAAGUUUUGUCUGGCGUCUCUAAAGAAAGGUAGCAUAGCACAGAUGAGGAUGAUGUUGAACCACCUCUUCCAGACUUCUCACCUAUCCAAAAAACCUGGGCCAAAGACUUUACCCAAAUUAUGCAGCAGCCCUCUGCAGUUUUUUAAUCUUUUCAUUCCAAAAACAGUGCUGCAGACAAUUGUAGGUCAAACAAAUUUCUAUGGGGCCAAGUAUCAGGAGAAAAAAGACAAUUUGUGGCAAUACAUUUGUGUGAAAGACUUGAAGUCAUUCAUAACAAUUGUAAUUUACAUGGGUCUGGUGAAGUGCUCUUCACUGACAGACUAUUGGAGGGAGUCCGAGUACUUCAGUCUGUCCUUUCCUGCACAAAUCAUAUCUUACCAGAAAUUUCGGACUAUCUCCAGUGUUCUUCAUCUAAGCGGUACCAAGGACAAUGAGAGGAACAAAGUGAGGAGGGGAACAUCAGACUAUGAACGCCUGGGUAAAAUUCAGUCACUGUAUCAAGUCAUUAGGGAUGCGUGCAAAAUCUAUUUUCAACCCUUUCAGAACAUCACCAUUGAUGAAAGAAUGGUGACAUUAUGGGCUAGAAAGGGGCUCAAACAAUGCGUGAAAAAUGAAUCUACAAAUAAUGGGUACAAACUGUUUGCACUGGAAGACUGCAGCAGCGGCUUUACUUGGAAUAUCUUUGUUUACAAGGGAAGGUCAAGUGCAUCACAGAGACAUGGGCUGAGCUAUGAGUCAGUGAUGGCAUUGGUGGAUGAAAAUAGGUUGGGCACUGGGUACAAGCUAUUUGUUGACAAAUUUUAGUUGUUGACCAGCCCCUCUCUUUUCAGAGACCUCCUCUGUAAGGAUAUCUGGGCUUGUGGGCCUGUUCAGGCAAGCAGGAAAGGUUACCCAAAACAACUGUGAACAGAUUGUCAAAGAACGCACCACGCGACAGCAUACGUUGGAUUAGGGACAACGAGUUGCUGUUUGUUAAGUGGAAAGACUUACAGGAGUGCAGAUGUGUUCCACCUUCCAUAAAGCCUAUGGAGGUGACACUAUGCAGAGGAAGGUGAAGGGAGAAGACAGACGUCGGACCCUUGUGGACGUCCCCAUUCCAGCUGCGGUGUUGGACUACAGAACAUGGAGGCAGUGGAUCCAUCUAAUUGUGCUACUGGAUAUUAUAGACUUCUAAAUAAAUCAAAAAAGUGGUACCAGUCCAUUUUUUAUCACUUUUUGGAUAUCGAUAUAGAGAAUGCAUUCAUCUUGCAAGGACUGGGUGACAAGAAAGAGAAUGCUUUGACCAGAAAGGCAUUCUUAGAGAAGCUUGUGUUAGAGCUUACAGAAACAGGUUCUCAGAAAAGGUCUGACUGUGCACCAGUUUCAUCGGCUCCUUCCUCGGUUUCCCCUCAGAUCCACCUGUGGAUCCCCUCCUGCUCCGUCCUCAGCUUCUCCAUUGGCGGUUCCUGCUUCAUACCACAAGACAAAGUUUAUCACACAGGACAGCACUGCAGAAAGGCCGAAUUGCAAGUGUGAUAAAAAUGUUAGGAAUAUUUUUCAGACUGUUUUUUAUGCAUUUUGUAAACUAACCGCAUUAGUAAUUUGAACAUUCAAAUCAAAAGUGUUUUGUAAUUGUUGCAUAUACAUUUCUAAAAUGGGAAUAAAGUAUAGUUUUGA